UGGGAAGGGACCCCGACGUCCUAGGGAUGA
rnacentral:piRNA from 1 species